GACGAACGCUGGCGGCGUGCCUAAUACAUGCAAGUAGGACGCAGUUGCGAACGGGUGAGUAACGCGUAGGUAACUACCUAUUAGAGGGGGAUAACUAUUGGAAACGAUAGCUAAUACCGCAUACUAGUAGAUGGACCUGCGUUGUAUUAGCUAGUAGGGAGGGUAAUGGCCUACCUAGGCAACGAUACAUAGCCGACCUGGGAGGGUUGUCGGGCAAACUGGGACUGGGGCACGGCCCCGACUCCUACGGGGGGUAGCAGGAGGGAAUCUUCGGCAAAGGGGGGAACCCUGGCCGAGCAACGCCGCGUGAGUGGAGAAAGUUUUCGGAUCGUAAAGCUCUGUUGUUAAGGAAGCGGUACUUAACCAGAAAGGGACGGCUAACUACGUGCCAGCAGCCGCGGUAAUUC
rnacentral:rRNA from 1 species